CGUGACAGACGCAGUAAACGUAGUCGCCACAGCAGCAGAAGCAGAAGUCGUAGCAGGGACAAGAAGAGGAGAGCAUCACAGAGUCGUUCUCGAAGCAGGUCUGAAAAAAAAUCGGUCAGCAAGUCUAAAAGUCGCUCUAAAUCCCGAAGUCGUUCAAAAAGUAAAUCGGUGGAACAAACAAAUGGUGAGCAAGAUGAUCGGGGUGAGUCUGAUGCCUCUAGAGCCUCAUCCCCUGCAAGAAGCGAAAAAGAGAGGAGUGGUUCUCCAAGUCCUGCUGAUGAUUGAGUAUCCCCAAGUCCAUGCCCUGCAUUGUCCCAACCCUUCCGCUGUGAGGGGAACCGACAUCCUUGAAGGAAGUAGAGAUUUUCUACAAGUCAUGACAGUCAGCAUGAGUUAUUUGUAUUUCCUUUGACAUGAUGCCAUCCAUUUCCAAACCUUUCUAUUUGUUUUACCAUACAAUGUAUUUUUGCAUCAAAGAUAACUGAGAACUAUCAUGUUUUAUUUCUUUACCUUAGAUGUACUAGAAUUUGUGGAAACAUUUAUCACCAGAAAACAGCAUUAAUUCCAAGAAAACAGGAUUUUAAUAAGGUGCUGUUUGAAUUAAUGUUGUUUUCAUGUUGUGGUGCUUGUGGAAUUCACAAAGGUCGUUUUUGACAGUGAAGGCACACAGUGGUUAGUUGUAAGCCCAGGGCAGAUAAGAUCUAGUUUGCAUGUUGAACAUGAUAGAAUGAGUAGACAAUAAUUCGUUUUAUCCUAUUUAUGAUUGUGUAUAGCGUAAUAAGAGAGCCAUUGAUCUGUGGGGUUGUUUUGUUGUGAGGGUGUUCUUUUGGAGGGGUGGGGGGUGUUGGCUACUUUGAUAUCAGGUGUAAUUAGUCCUUCUAUUGAACAAACUAAUAUCAACACUUCACUGUGAACAUCUCUGAAAAAUGUGGAUUGUUGAAGAAGGAACAAACCAAUCUAUCUGUAUCCACCCAUGAUGGCAGUUUAGCGCCAACAUAGAAAAUAAUAUUCUUGUUAAAACAUUUGGCAAUGAAUUCCCCCUACGUAUCUUAAGUAAGAGGUUUCACCUUGUUGAAGAAUCUGAAAACAUCCUAGGAUUUCCAAGUUAGUGCCCCUCACACUGGUUCCAGCUUGAUAUGUUCAGAUAUCAAGUUUGUCAAGUUUGUUUUGUCUGCGUCACAUCUGCUCAUCAGUUUCAACAAAGUGUUCAGCAUCUGUACCGGGUGCCUUUCUGGCUCCGUAGAGACAUACACUCAGUGAAACUCUGUUCAAGGUAGCAUUAUAUCAAUCUCCAUGGUGUCCUAUUACACAGACUGAUGCCUGUGAUGUCAAUCACAGGAUUGUCUGGUCCAGAUUCUCUUAUGUACAGACGGCCAUCAUAUGGCAAGAAUAUUGCUGAGGACAGCGUAAACAACAAAUUAAAUCUCCGGGAGACAAUUCUAAGAUACAUCGUGAUUGGUAAUAACUGUCAUCACUGUCGUUUUGGGUUUUCUCAACAUGUACUUCAUUUGAGCUUCAUAGUGGCAUUUGGCACAUGAUGAACUUUGACUGGUUGUGGAGAUUUACAUGUUGCGUGUUAUGUACAUUUGGUCACAUGAUGCAUCACAGCAUUGUAUGUUUGAAUAUUAUUACACAGGACUGUGUUACAACAUUGUGUCACGAUAGAUCACCUUGUAUUAACCGUUAAUCAUGUCUCGUGUUAUUGCAUUGAAUAAUGUCUUGAAACAUUUUUAGCAUCCUCUAUAUCUCCCAAAUCAUAUAUCUUUUAUUUCCGUAAACCUACACUAACUCUGAAUCCACUCUGUGGUUCUUAUGAGGACAAAUUACUACCACUUGAUGUCCUUUGGCCAUUUUUUACCUCUAACAUACCCAACAGAAUGUGACUUACAAGCCAGCCUCAAUGUUGGGUUGACAAUAUUAACAUGGAGGCCAGUCCCUUUGAUUUUGAAGUUCUUGAGAAAUUCAGUAUUGAAAAACUGAAUCAAUUGAUGGAAAGGAUGUCUUACUGUCAAAUGAUACUAGUUGGUGGCUUUGGUUUCUAGGUGAUGAGUUACCUCCCUUUCUCUGUUCUUAAUGUCAAGGUUAAAUUGGUUGAUAAAAUGGCAAUGAAAACCGAGGGUGGGUAACAAGGACCAUGGGAAUGGCUCAAGAGGUUUAGUGUAGGAUUACUGAAAGCCCUUGGUGAUAAAGAGGAUGCAUUAUCAGAUGUUCUGUGCAUUCAGUCAUGUUUAAGUCAACAUGUCCGAUGCCUUGGAUAAUGUGUUGUGACAAAAUGUCAUGCUUUACGUCAUGUUGUGACAUGACACUUUUGUGUGUAAUGUAACGCUACUUCCAUGGUUUUGACAUAAAUUACGAUCUUAGAAAAUGUCAUGCAUUGUGUCAUGAUACUCCAAACCUCUUCCAGUGUCAUGACGUUAAUCCAAUGUGCUAAAGUUGGCGUACUUGUAUAUUUAACAUUGUCUGUUAACAUGUGUGCUUAUUGGUAAUAUGUCUGAGUUCUAGACAUGCAGGUCGCUUAAUUAAACUAAUUGUUUUGUCAAGUUGAACACGUCAAACCAGGAAGAAGGCAUUGAUUUAGGGCCGGGAAAUGUCAAAUGAUUUGUCUCACUUCAAUCUUGCUGUAGAUGUUCACAAGUUGUACCGUGUGUUUUCAUUUGUAUCACUAACUCUGGAUCUCCACAGUUUUCUGUUUGUAGUCUGGCAGUGAUGGGUGACCCUUUUCCUCCAUUGUCAAAUGUGGUAGAUGACCCAAUAAUUUGCUAGAAGUAACAGGUUCAUUUUCUUUGUUUUGAUACUUUUUAAGACAAAUAAAGGUUGCUAACAUUCUGAAAUAAUUAUUAUCACAAAAUGCCAGUUAAUUUUGAAGUCAAAAGAAGGUGCUUAUUUCACGUAACUGAUAUUUUAUCAUCAAUGCUUGUCAGUAAGUUUUAUUAUGAGAUUGUUGUGAAUAAAAGCCAACAAAAGAA